AACGAACGCUGGCGGCGCGUUUUAAGCAUGCAAGUCGAACGGCAGUAUGGAGCAAUCCAUAUGAGAGUGGCGAACGGGUGAGUAACACGUAGGUGAUCUCCCUCGGUUUUGGGGGAUAGUUCGUGGAAACACGGGGUAAUACCGAAUACGCUCUCCGGGCUGUGGCCUGGGGAGGAAAGGCGCGGGUGCGCCGAACCGAGAUGAGCCUGCGUCCCAUUAGCUGGUUGGCGGGGUAAAGGCCCACCAAGGCGACGAUGGGUAGCCGGCCUGAGAGGGUGACCGGCCACACUGGGACUGAGAUACGGCCCAGACUCCUACGGGAGGCAGCAGCUAAGAAUCUUCCGCAAUGGGCGAAAAGCCUGACGGAGCGACGCCGCGUGGACGAUGAAGGCCGGAAGGUUGUAAAGUCCUUUCUCCGUGAAGAAUAAAGGGUGCGAGGAAAUGCGCGCCUGAUGACGUUAUCGGAGGAAUAAAGCCCCGGCUAAUUACGUGCCAGCAGCCGCGGUAAAAGUCACGUCGC
rnacentral:rRNA from 1 species